rnacentral:piRNA from 1 species
UUCAUUCUACAGGAUGGACAAAGGACUCU